CUUGGUCCAUUUAGAGGAAGUAAAAGUCGUAACAAGGUUUCCGUAGGUGAACCUGCGGAAGGAUCAUUAAUGAGAGGGGUCCCCGGACCCCGGGGGCUUCGGUCCCCAACUCUUCACCCUGUGUCUACGUACCUUUGUUGCUUUGGCGGGCCUUGGGGUUUGCCCCUUGCUGGCCUCGGGCUUCGCCGCCCGGGUUGGUCCGUGCCCGUCAGAGGCCCACCAAACUCCGUUUAUCAGUGUCGUCCGAGCAAAAAAUACAAUAGUAAAAAACUUUCAACAACGGAUCUCUUGGUUCUGGCAUCGAUGAAGAACGCAGCGAAAUGCGAUAAGUAAUGUGAAUUGCAGAAUUCAGUGAAUCAUCGAAUCUUUGAACGCACAUUGCGCCCCUCGGUAUUCCGGGGGGCAUGCCUGUUCGAGCGUCAUUGUACCCCUCAAGCUCAGCUUGGUAUUGGGCCUCCGCCCCCCUCGGGGCGGGCCCGAAAGUCAGUGGCGGUCCGGCGUGACUUCGAGCGUAGUAAACCUUUCUCCCGCUUUGGAAGCUCACGCCGUGGCCGGCCAGAACGCCCAAUUCUUUCAAUGGUUGACCUCGGAUCAGGUAGGGAUACCCGCUGAACUUAAGCAUAUCAAUAAGCCGGAGGA
rnacentral:rRNA from 1 species